AUUGAACGCUGGCGGCAGGCCUAACACAUGCAAGUCGAACGAGUGGCGGACGGGUGAGUAAUGUCUGGGAAACUGCCCGAUGGAGGGGGAUAACUACUGGAAACGGUAGCUAAUACCGCAUACUAUCGGAUGUGCCCAGAUGGGAUUAGCUUGUUGGUGGGGUAAAGGCUCACCAAGGCGACGAUCCCUAGCUGGUCUGAGAGGAUGACCAGCCACACUGGAACUGAGACACGGGCCAGACUCCUACGGGAGGCAGCAGUGGGGAAUAUUGCACAAUGGGCGCAAGCCUGAUGCAGCCAUGCCGGGGGUAUGAAGAAGGCCUUAGGGUUGUAAAGUACUUUCAGCGGGGAGGCGUUACCCGCAGAAGAAGCACCGGCUAACUCCGUGCCAGCCGCCGCGGUAAUAC
rnacentral:rRNA from 1 species